CAGGCACAUACUCCAGGUAAACCGCCAACAUGGACACACUGAUACAGGCAUACUCCAACACAGGCACACACCGAAACAGACACGUACCAUCUCAGCUCCACACAGAACCAGGAAGAAUCAGAAUGCUUCUCCCAGUUCGUGAGCUCACCCCUCAGAGAACCAAGGAGCAGUUUAGCAGCCACAGUGGUGGGAACUCCAUGCCACCCUCACAGUGGGAUGCCCUCUACUGCUGAGCCCCACCCUGUGGCCUCAUGGACCACCUGAGAGCAGCUGGGGCAGCCUGAACACAGCAGGGACAGGAGAGCUAGAAGAUGGGCUCUGGCUUGGGGCUAGCUGUCGGUCAGGUGGCCAUGGGGCCCUGGACAUGUAGCUGUCCAUCUUGUCUCUUCGUAAAAGUGGACACAAAGGUCUCUGCUUGGAAGGUGAGUUCUGUGGCUUCAAGUGACCCCGUGUGAAGGUUCAAGCCAGAGUCCACAGGGAGGGGCUCUGAAGGAGCUGGCAGUGUGUCCCAGAGAGGUCUGCCAGAGCUCAGCAUCUCCGACCUGGAGAUCAGUGGGCAAGUACAAUGGAGUCCCACCCUCCGUGGCCACAGCCUUUCUGGAGGCACCCUGUAAAUGAUGAAACCAGAGCCCAUGUAUCGCCCUUUGCCCAGCUCCUGAAGCUGGCCUGUCCCUGCAUUUACAAGGCCAACUGGAUGAAGUCAAGAAUUCUGAUCCCUGGAGAUGUCAGCCCGGGCACCAACAAAGAAAGUAGAAAUGGAAUAAAAAUUCUUUUUUAAUGGUCUCGGCUGCUAAGUUCAGCACUUCAGCCAGAAAUCUGAGUGGCGAGCCCACAGCAGAGCCUUCCAAAACUCCACCUCACACACCGUACUUCAUCCAAGAAUAAUGGGAGCAGAUGGAGUCGUUUUCCUGUGCUCCGUCCAGGGUGAUGUGGUGCUAAUCAUCAGAGUGAUACUGGACUGGGGUCAGAUCAACAGGCGAAUGGACCAGCAGAACAAGAUUAAGGGCAGGAGAAGCAGAGCCAGGGCACCUCUGUGAUGUACAGAUGCAGAGCCUAGUGAAACAGACAUCCGUCCUGCUGGCUGGUGAACCCCACUGAGAUGACCUGUCACCCUGUGCAACCCACUGUCCUUCCAGAGCUCAAUGUCACCAGUGUGAAAGACCACCUGGUCAGUGGUCAGCAGCUGGAGAAAGGUAUUAGAAGAGGACUCUGUCAUAAUGAGGUUCCCCGUGGCAUGCACAUGACACUAGAGUGUCCCCAUGUGGCUGAAGAAGGCAGCCUGCCCAGACCUAAGAUCCUGCAUGGUCAGUCCUGAGACCUCAUCUUGCUCUGAAAUGGGGCCUGAAGCCAAGAGGGACAUGACGUGCCUGAGGCCCAUGGGAGUGGAUGCACAGUCCUCCCCACAGCUCUUCUCCCCCCUAAGCCUUCUGUUGCUAUAGCUACACCCAUGUCCUCCACCAACACAGGCCUGCAAGGAAGACACUUCUGCAAGGAAUCACCUGUUUCUCAUUGACCUCUACAGAGUGACAGCAGGUCCCUGCCUAUGGAAGAGAGUGGCCUUAGUGGGAAGAACGGAGGUGGAUGAACAACAGAGUCUGAGCCAGGACCUGGGCAGUGGCUGUGUUUCCAAUUUCCCUUGGGGGAUCCUGUGCCUGCCAUGAGAGAAGCAAGUCCUGGGAUCUCCUCAGACUGAGAGGCAUGAGACUCACGUGGGGUGAAGUCGAAGAAGGCCAGGCUUGCAGCCUGCUCGGCUGAGUGCAGAAGUGCCUAACAGAACUGCCCGACCCAAAGAUGGCCUCAGAGCGACUGACUUAUUGUCCCCUGGCACGUGCUCCUGGGGUGUAUAACAAAGUAACUGACCAAGCCAGGGGGAAGCAAGCCACCAAGCAGCACCCCUCCACGACAUCGACUUCAGUUCCUUCCCCGG